CAGAGAAAAAUUGGGGUUCGGGAGUCAGUUACGCGCGAGAAAGGUAUUAGCACCCUCGCGACGCCCAAAAUUGGUAUCUCGUAAACAUGUGUUGUCUAGAUUUUCAAAAAUACGAGUUUAAUGUAACAUUUAGUCGAGAUCCGAUUAAAAAGAUGAGAAAUUUUCAAUUCUUUGGAUUUUUGAGAAGGACAUACCGUUUUAACACGAGUCGAUUGAUGUUCAUCCAACAUAGCGAUGAAAUCAGCGACUUUGUAUUAAACCGACAUGUUGCCUUAUGUAUUAAAAUUAAUUAGAAAAAGAUUCCAAAA
rnacentral:lncRNA from 1 species